AGAAAAUGGCUGAAGGGAGAAAAAUCUUCUUAAGGGAUCGAAAUAAACUUGGAAUGUUUUGUUAUUUUCCAGUGUUCGAGUGUGGAAGAGAUAUUCCUGUGGUCUCUUGAAGGCAUAGCUGUCACCUGACCUCUUCUCCAAAGCUUUUCCUCUCUAUUUGCACUGCAUUUAAAGAAAGUCCAGAACAGUCACGUCUCCUCAAACACGCGUGGCCUGCUGUACGUGCUGAGCAAGAGGAAGAGCCCUUCAUCAUCCCAGUCACGUGUGGACCUGAGAGGAGAAGGAGGAGGAGCCAUUGUUUGACCGAAGCUUCUGGGGAGGGUAGAUCAAAGUGAGUGUAGUGCUUGCUGCCUGUCCAUGCUGUUGGCUGUGCUGUGAAGUGUCUGUGAGUCAGCUCCUCAGAUACUUGAGAGCCAUCAGUCUUGUCCAGCUGCAUACUUUCAGCAAUGGUCACUACUUACUUUAU
rnacentral:lncRNA from 1 species